AUGUUUAAACAAAAGCCUUGCAACUCUUUGUUUGGCGCAUUGUGAUGAUCGAUACCAUUGUAUCAGAUAUGAUGGAUUAGGAUCCAUCCAUAAUCUUGACCAGAAACUGUUGUAAUUUUAGAUCUUUCAAUUGAGUAUUUUCCUGAUUGUUGCUAGUUAUUUAUUAUUUCUCAUUAACAUUGUUCAAUUGUCAUUGUGCUUCUUUUUUUCCUUUGUCCCAGACAUAAUGUUUACACUUGAUUGUCAAUCACAUUAGAUGUUAUUAUUAUCACUAAUAAAACGUCAACAUUUUCAAUCAACAUGAUUUGAUGGAUGGAUUCCUCAACAACAACCCUGUUUAUUAUGUGUUGCUUUUUUUACUUCAUUUGUUUAAUCUUGCGAACUUGCUUUUCAAUUAAUUGUUAAUGCAUUAGACGUGCUUUACAUAACAAUUGGAAUUAUAUAAAAUUGAAGAGAAACGUAACUCAACAGUAAACUUGCAUUGAACAAUUCAACCCUUAAAUUUAAAAUUUACUUUUCACGCCUUCAUCUGUUUAGUUACACAUUUAUCCAAUUGUUUCAACAUUUUUCAGAACCAAUUUGAUUACUUUUCUUGUUGUUAUGUACAUUAAAACGACAAUUUUCAGCCUUUUUAAUGUUAAGGUUCUGUAAAAAUAGCGACUCACUCUUAAUGUUGUCAAUACAAAAAUACAGAUUGUAAUGGUUUGUUUUUCCCUCAACUCUUUGUAACCAUUACGUAGCGACCGUUGCGAAAGCUUUUCAAAAUGUAUUGUUAACGGUUAAUUGUAUUUCUAGUGUAUAGAUAAUCAUCAUUAGUUUUGCUUUUUAUUUCCAUAUUAGUUUAUAAUUAAACUCAUUAGUAGUUUACUGUUCCCAAAAUUGAUCUAAAUUGCUAUUUGAUCUCAAUAGUCGACAUUUUCGUUUGUUUUUGUGUAAUUUCUCCUGCAACUCUUGUUUAUGUACACUUAUGUGUGUAUAUUUAAUGCUAUGCCACCUGGACUUGCACCUUAAUUGAAUGAUCUGGAUUCAAGGUUAAGCUACUUUUUUCCAUCACAAUUUAAUGAACUCCGAUGGAAUUGAACUCCAAUGGAAAGCAAUCAAGUUACAUAAUUUACUCUACUUCAAUCAAUCAUUAUCUUGCAUUUUGUUCAUUGACAGUUUAAUUGGUUCUUUCCAAACCGAUUACAUAUUUGUAUUAGUUCAAAGUUGACCCCCAAUACGACCUAUCUGAUCACUUUUAUCAAGAAGCAACCAAUUCUUUCUGCGACCACAUAACAAUAACUCUUGAAUGGAUCAUCCACUUAUUGUUAAUCAAAGCUGUUGCUUCCUUAAAAAUAGCAAUUCUCAUGAUAACUCAUGUUAGUCUGGAAGAUUCGACCGGAAAAAAGGCAGCUAUCAACAACAUCAAAGGAGGAUUUAAUGAUUUUUAUGAAUCUUUGUUGCGAUUGCAGUCUUCUGCAUCUUUAGACAAAUCACAACACCAUCAUAAAUCAUUUGUAAAUCCAUUAUUGAAAAGGUUUUUGAACUUGAAUGAAUUUUCCCUGUUGACCCGUAUAAAGAGUCAUCAAAUUCAUGGUCAUACCUGGCUGAUCUCAGAAUGAAACCUUUCGAUUUCAACAUAUUGGUUUAUUAGCAAGGACUAAUCUUUUAUGGGUAAAUUCCUGAUAAAGACAAAUGCCAGCCUGAUUAUCUUGUUUCAAAUUUCAUUCCAUCCUAAUCAUACUUAUGUAAUCAACUUAAAGCCCAGGUUUUAAAAGCUUGACCAUCCUAUGCAUUUCACCACAACUCCUUAUGUCUUCUUGGUGUCAACAACAAAUAUCAAUGAUUGACAUUCGCUCUAUAAGUUCCUGUCUUGCACCAUGGCUUUUUCAUCUACUUUUUAUUAGGAGUUUUGAAACAUUGUGGGUGUGAUAUUGAAUCUCAUUUAACAUAAAUUACUCUUUCAACUGACAUGGUGGCAAUGUUUGACGUGGAUUGACUUUGUUUACAAUAAACUUGAAACAAUUGUGGAUCAUCAACAAGCAACCCAAUAUUACCUGGUUAUCUUUUUGAUUUCUAAAGACAUAAGUAAACAAAGAGGUGAUAAAAAGGCUAAAUAAGAGGAAACAAUAAGUUGAUUUGACUCUAUUUCACCUCAAGGUUAUACCAGAUAUUUAAUUAGCAGCAUUUUUGCUCAAAGAUUAAAAUGAAUUAAUUUGUUUCAAUCAGCAUCAUUGGAUUUUUAAAGCUGAAUGUUUCAUUUCAAGAUACAACUAAAGUUUCAAACAUAAAUAAGAAGUACAUCGUACAUUGUAUUGUAUAUUGGCAAGAAAACUCAAUUUUAUCUAAAAAGGAUGAAAAACUAUUCCAGACUAACCAUGAUGAUAAGAAAAGUAUUCUUACUCUUAAGAAAAAUUUCCAGUUCAACUCUAUCACCUUUGCUCAAUUGAAUGGUUUAAAAAUUAUUUCAUGAAAUUGUUCCUGAGGUUGCAUUAACUAAAUGUCAAUCAAUUACAAUAUUUGAGAUCCAAAUGUUCCGGAAAAGUCUUCAAUGCGAAAAAUAAAUUCCAUGUUUUGAAUCUCUUAAACCAUGACACAGGCUAACAUUCAAAGAUACAAUAUUCGAGACCUGGUAAACAUGGAACUUCAAUCAAGCGCAAUUUAUUUUAUAAACCUCAAAACUUUUCCAUCAAAGCUACCAUGAAUUGUCGUAAAUUUAAAGACCAUUGGAUCAAAUUGUCAAUGCUAAUACUGUUCAUGAUUCUGAUCCAAUUGAAUUUAUUCAUCCUUUCCAUCUUCUUGGCCACAAUCUUCAACAACUGACGAUCAAUAUGAUUAGAGUCAUGGAUCAUUUUGGUUUCAAAUAAGCAAUUACCAAUGAAUGGUAAUCGAAACAAGUAAACUUGGAAAAAACUAUUACAACUUGGAUCAAAUAAUUGCAAUAACAAUGUCAACCUCCAAUUGGCAGUUCCAAUUUUUUUUACUAUACUGAGCAAUGUGGUCAAUCAGUUUAAACAGCAAUUUAAAGUUGUUUCAUUCAAUCAAACUGGAUGAUUGGCAAAGAGAAAGCUAAUUUCAUUUGAAAAUAACAUCAACUAAUUAUGAUGCCAUGAAAGCCUGGAUCUCAAAAUAUUACCAGCAAUUUAAAGGAAUCCAUUGAGAGUGUAACUAAAUGUUUUGCUAAAUUCCUGACCUGAAUUAUUUCGUAACUGUUUAAAUUGUCGAUCACACUUGGUUUAAAACCUUUUAAAAACAAUCAUCUAAACAAGUAAAUUAAUGAGACAGAUUGAAAAUCAAAAUGUCAUGAUUGGAGUUUAAACUGAAAGAAGCUACAGUAAUUCAAAGUGAAAGAUAUAAUUUCAAUGAUGACAGCUUAUGGAACUCAAAUUCUCAGAAGAAUCAAGUUAAGUGGAUUUCAAUGUUACCAUGCUAUUUUUUGGGUUAAAUAAUUCAGAGAUGGAAACAAGCAAAAGAUCAUCUUUGUUAAUUGUGGUACAAAUGGUAAAAUGGUAAAUUGGAAAAAAUAGAAACGUUAAUAAAUUGGAAAUAUUUAUAAGGCAACAUUUCAUGGAAAUGCAAGUUUCAAGGAAGCUAAAUCACGGAACCGGAUAGUGCAAGGAGGAAGGAGUCUGGGAAAGUGUAACAAUUAGCUUACCUGUAAGUUGAUGGAGUUAACACUUUCUGUUGUCCCAAUUCUGAGAGCAGAUUUCUUAACUGAAUCCAUUCCUUGGCUGAAUCAAGGUUAUUACCGUUUGCCGAGAUUAAACCUGCAACCGAACCAGCUGAAGGUGAUCCUGACAAUGAUGAUGAGGAAGGUGUUAAUGAAGGUGAAGAUGGAUCUUGUUGUGAAUCAUCAGCUAGUCCAGUGAAAGUGUAAUCACCAAGUGAUUGACCGGGAUCAGAUGAAUGACCAUUUAGGGGUAAACUUGAUACAAAAAAACAACCAAAUGAGAUAUAAAUUAAACAAACCUUCAUGAUGCUGAUGAAGUUGUAACGAUUGUUGAAGCAAUUGUUAUGACUAAGCUGUUUGCUGGCGUUAAUUAACUUCAUCUUUAAAAUGUGAUGGAAAAAAAGUGAAACAAUAAUCUAACUAAACAAAAAAUGGAACGAAUCGGGUUGAUAAAAAAUGGAUGAAAUAGCCAAUAAGUUAACCUGUUGAUUGUGAAUUUACAAAGAGCAAAUUGAGUUUGUUCAAUUUGGUAAAAAUCAGAGUUAAAUAUCUUAAAUUCUGAUUCUUACAGUUUCUUGAAGUGAUCAACCAAACAGGAUAACUCUUAUAUACACAUGGACAUUAUAAUUUAUAAAUAUAUGUUGAUCAUCUUA